rnacentral:rRNA from 1 species
UACGAAGGGUGCAAGCGUUACUCGGAAUUACUGGGCGUAAAGCGUGCGUAGGUGGUUCGUUAAGUCUGUCGUGAAAGCCCCGGGCUCAACCUGGGAAUGGCGAUGGAUACUGGCGGGCUAGAGUGCGGUAGAGGAGAGUGGAAUUCCCGGUGUAGCAGUGAAAUGCGUAGAGAUCGGGUGGAACACCAGCGGCGAAGGCGGCAUCCUGGCCCUGACCUGACGCUGAGGCGCGAUAGCGUGGGGAGCAAACGGG